rnacentral:lncRNA from 1 species
AUGGCUUCUCUCUGGACCCAACAGAAUCGGAAUCCUCGGGCAUGUGAAGCCUUCCAGCCCGUGGCUCCCAGUCAUCUCCCAUGGCUCCCAAUCACCUCCCGUGGCUCCCAGUCACCUCCCGUGGGUCCCAAUCACCUCCCGUGGCUCCCAGUCACCUCCCGUGGCUCCCAGUCAUCUCCCAUGGCUCCCAAUCACCUCCCGUGGCUCCCAGUCAUCUCCCAUGGCUCCCAAUCACCUCCCGUGGCUCCCAGUCACCUCCCGUGGCUCCCAGUCGCCUCCCAAUCGCCUCCCGUGGCUCCCAGUCGCCUCCCAAUCGCCUCCCAUGGCUCCCAGUCGCCUCCCGUGGCUCCCAAUCACCUCCCGUGGCUCCCAGUCACCUCCCGUGGCUCCCAGUCGCCUCCCAGUCACCUCCCGUGGCUCCCAGUCGCCUCCCAGUCGCCUCCUGUGGCUCCCAGUCACCUCCCAUGGGUCCCAGUCGCCUCCCGUGGCUCUCAGUCAUCUCCCAUGGCUCCCAAUCACCUCCCGUGGCUCCCAGUCACCUCCCGUGGGUCCCAAUCACCUCCCGUGGCUCCCAGUCACCUCCCGUGGCUCCCAGUCGCCUCCCAAUCGCCUCCCGUGGCUCCCAGUCGCCUCCCAAUCGCCUCCCAUGGCUCCCAGUCGCCUCCCGUGGCUCCCAAUCACCUCCCGUGGCUCCCAGUCACCUCCCGUGGCUCCCAGUCGCCUCCCAGUCACCUCCUGUGGCUCCCAGUCGCCUCCCAGUCGCCUCCUGUGGCUCCCAGUCACCUCCCAUGGGUCCCAGUCGCCUCCCGUGGCUCCCAGUCAUCUCCCGUGGCUCCCAAUCACCUCCCGUGGCUCCCAAUCACCUCCCGUGGGUCCCAAUCACCUCCCGUGGCUCCCAGUCACCUCCCGUGGCUCCCAGUCGCCUCCCAAUCGCCUCCCGUGGCUCCCAGUCGCCUCCCAAUCGCCUCCCGUGGCUCCCAGUCGCCUCCCAAUCGCCUCCCAUGGCUCCCAGUCGCCUCCCGUGGCUCCCAAUCGCCUCCCGUGGCUCCCAGUCACCUCCCGUGGCUCCCAGUCGCCUCCCAGUCACCUCCCGUGGCUCCCAGUCGCCUCCCAGUCGCCUCCUGUGGCUCCCAGUCACCUCCCAUGGGUCCCAGUCGCCUCCCGUGGCUCUCAGUCGCCUCCCGUGGCUCCCAGUCGCCUCCCGUGGCUCCCAGUCGCCUCCCGUGGCUCCCAAUCAUCUCCGCCGUCUUGUGCUUUAUGGGCCUCUUACGGGGUCCCGGUUUCAGGCCCUCCCUGGCACCCGCCCUUUCUCCUCACGGCUGGGCCUCCGUAUGGACGGCGCCCUCCUUCUUUAGCUCUGCUUUAGGGAUAAACUUGGAAAACAGGAGCUGCUCCAUUUUUAUCUCCGUGUGUCCAUCAUUUGCCACAGGGCCCGAUGCACAGGAGGCACUGGGUAAAUGCUUCCGAUUAAAGAAAUUAUUUGGUGAACUGGUAAAUCAAUAA